rnacentral:rRNA from 1 species
GAUGAACGCUGGCGGCGUGCCUAAUACAUGCAAGUCGAGCGAACAGACGAGGAGCUUGCUCCUUCGACGUUAGCGGCGGACGGGUGAGUAACACGUAGGUAACCUACCUAUAAGACUGGGAUAACUUCGGGAAACCGGAGCUAAUACCGGAUAAUAUUUCGAACCGCAUGGUUCGAUAGUGAAAGAUGGCUUUGCUAUCACUUAUAGAUGGACCUGCGCCGUAUUAGCUAGUUGGUAAGGUAACGGCUUACCAAGGCAACGAUACGUAGCCGACCUGAGAGGGUGAUCGGCCAAACUGGAACUGAGACACGGUCCAGACUCCUAAGGGAGGCAGCAGUAGGGAAUCUUCCGCAAUGGGCGAAAGCCUGACGGAGCAACGCCGCGUGAGUGAUGAAGGUCUUCGGAUCGUAAAACUCUGUUAUUAGGGAAGAACAAACGUGUAAGUAACUGUGCACGUCUUGACGGUACCUAAUCAGAAAGCCACGGCUAACUACGUG